ACCAUUCAUAUUAUUACCCUGUGUGACAUAAGGCAAGAAGAAGAACAAAGUAAUCAGGCAACUGUUAUUCAAAGCCAUAAAACUCAGCCCCCACAAAAGAAACACGUUAUUAUACAGAAAUAAAUGCAGCAGUACUGGUAAGAGUUUAACAUUAUUUCCUCAUAAUUGAGGAUAGUACCUUAGAACUCAGGUUUUUCUAGAUAUCCAACAUGUAUCCAACAGAGGUAUCUUUAAGUGUGAUAUUUGUUUGAUGUUGGCACGUUUGGCUCAUGUGGUAUGCUCAGAGACGAGUACGUUAUGGGUUCAAAAGUAAGACCCCUUUUACUCCGUAAAAGAAGGGAAGCGCAAGAGGGUAAUUAUCUAGAAAGUUUGAAGACCACGUUUACCUCAUCUAGGA
rnacentral:misc_RNA from 1 species